AAAAACAUGUCUGCCUGUCAUAAUAAGCAGUCUUACCUGCUCACUGAUUUUAAAGAGCUGCAGUAACUUGACUGUACUAAGGUAGCAUAAUAAAUUGUUUUUUAAUAAAGAACUAGAAUGAAAGGUUUGAUGAACAACAGCUUUUUCUGUAUUUUUCCCAAAUUUAACUCCCUGUAAAAACUCCGUGAUAAAAUUUAAAGACGAUAAGACCCUAUAAAAUUUUAUUAAUUAAAAUUGAUCAGUUUAUACUUAAGUUAAUUUGAUUGGGGUGAUUUUAAUAAAAAUUCUAACUGUUAAAAUAAAACCGCUUAUAUGCGCACAUCAAUAGACCCUCAAAAGAUUAAAAAAGUAAAUUACUUUAGGGAUAACAGCGUAAUCCUUCUUAAAGUUCCUAUAAAAAGAGGGGUUUGCGACCUCGAUGUUGAAUUAAGAAAACCUUAAGUUGCAAAAGUUUUAAAGGUAAAUCUGUUCGAUUUAUAAUCUCUUACAUGAUCUGAGUUCAAACC
rnacentral:rRNA from 1 species